CAAUAUGCUUUGUAAUGGAUAUAAAGAAGGGUGUAUGAUCGGAAUGAGUUUUUGGUAAAUGGAUUACCUUAGAGUUAGGGUAUAGCUCUAGCCACUUAUCAUUGGAAAAUACUCAAUCCAACUGUUCUAAUAUAAAACCAACACCUUUAUUCUUACGAUAAUGAUUGGACCAAGUUAACAGCCACCCUUAAAACCUAAAUCCAGUAAAUUACAAUUAUUAAGGCAUGACUACAGGAGAUUUGCUCUAGAAACAUUUAUAUGCCUACCACCC
rnacentral:lncRNA from 1 species